CGAGGCUAUAACUGACGCUAAAGCUCGAAGGUGCGGGUAUCGAACAGGAUUAGAUACCCUGGUAGUCCGCACGGUAAACGAUGGAUGCCCGCUGUAUGCGAUAUACUGUAUGCGGCCAAGCGAAAGCGUUAAGCAUCCCACCUGGGGAGUACGCCGGCAACGGUGAAACUCAAAGGAAUUGACGGGGGCCCGCACAAGCGGAGGAACAUGUGGUUUAAUUCGAUGAUACGCGAGGAACCUUACCCGGGCUUGAACUGCAGGAGAAGGAUACAGAGAUGUUGAGGCCCUUCGGGGCGCCGGCGGAGGUGCUGCAUGGUUGUCGUCAGCUCGUGCCGUGAGGUGUCGGCUUAAGUGCCAUAACGAGCGCAACCCUUUUCAUUAGUUGCCAUCAGGUAAAGCUGGGCACUCUGGUGAUACUGCCACCGUAAGGUGUGAGGAAGGUGGGGAUGACGUCAAAUCAGCACGGCUCGACGGUCGGUGGGUACACACGUGUUACAAUGGUGGGUACAGAGAGUCGGAUGUUCGCAAGAAUGUUCUAAUCCUAAAAGCCUUCCUCAGUUCGGAUUGGGGUCUGCGACCCACCCCAUGAAGCGGAUUCGCU
rnacentral:rRNA from 1 species